UACGUAGGGAGCAAGCGUUGUCCGGAAUCAUUGGGCGUAAAGCGCGCGUAGGUGGCCUCGUAAGUCCGCUGUGAAAAGUCAAAGGCUCAACCUUUGAAAGCCGGUGGAUACUGUGGGGCUAGAGUACGGAAGAGGCGAGUGGAAUUCCUGGUGUAGCGGUGGAAUGCGCAGAUAUCAGGAGGAACACCAAUAGCGAAGGCAGCUCGCUGGGACGUAACUGACACUGAGGCGCGAAAGCGUGGGGAGCGAACAGG
rnacentral:rRNA from 1 species